UUCUAUAUAAAGCACUCAACAAACGUAGGUCUCAAUGUCUCAUCAAUUUCGUGCUGAUUUUUUCUUCUUCUAGAGUUGUUGGUGAUAUAUCAUCGGAAUUAAUGAUGAAAUGAAACCAAUUUUUUUAGAGGCGCAUGUCUAAUGAAGACGAAGUAGCCUGACUUUAGAGGAAACGCCAAGUAUCCUAUAUUAGCCCCAGUUAUCUGCACAUCCUUUUUCAUUCUGAGAAAAAGAUUAACUUUUAUGUAUUUAAAGUUGUGCAAAAUGAUGAAGUAAGAAUAGCAAUGGAAGUCGAAGCUCAUGAGAAACGAAUUCGGAAAGAGAUAAAGGAACUAGAUAUUUUAAGUAAAGAUCACUUCUUUUCUUUCUUAAAUAUCUUACUUCCAAAUUGUGAAGAGAAGAGCAAAUACGUCAAGAAAUGGAAAAAAUGUCCAUGAAAGAUGGAAAGUGGAAGAGAGGUUGAUGCGUGAAAAUUAGCGAGAAAAUGAGAGGUUUCAGAGAGAAAAAGCUUGGACUUUCAUAAGAUUUAUGCAGAAAUAAUCAGUUGUCUAACGGAGGCGAUAUGAUGUGGUAUGGAUGACUUUUUAUGAGCAAGGUUUCUUCAAUACGCUUUGUGCUUAUUGUAACCAAAACUUUGUAGUCAGAUUAAAUACAAAAACUUAAUCGAUUAAAAGGUGUAGCAACAUGUGUGCCUGGAAUAGGCUUGUGAGCGGAUUCAUCUGAGCCAACGCCAACGCAAAACUCAACCAUUUUGAAGAAAAUCUAAAACAUAAAAUAUUAGAUUUAUAUGUUCAUGCAUUGAUGUACGUCUACACGCAAUAAUCACAUGAUGAAGCUACAAGAUUCGCGUAACAGAUUAGUAUCACUAUCUACACGCAGUAAUCACAAAAAAAAAGAAAAAAAUGGCUAAAACCAACAAAUUCACGACAAGAAGAACAUGGAAGAUUUAAAGAACAAAUGAAAAUGCAAAGGAUAUUUAUCUCUACCCUGAAGAACUUCACGUCAAGAAAAAAAAACAUAGAAAACAAACAAGUAAACCAUAGGAGAAAGAGGUCAGAGGUGUGAUUCUUCAAGAUAAUAAUGGAAUGGUUCUGGAAUAUUAUCGGGAGCUAAUUUGAUUCUUAACUUUGUUUUAUUUUUUAGUUAUUAUUUAUGAAUUAUUGAAUUUUCUACAA